AACGAACGCUGGCGGCGUGCUUAACACAUGCAAGUCGAACGGUAAGGCCCUUCGGGGUACACGAGUGGCGAACGGGUGAGUAACACGUGGGUGAUCUGCCCUGCACUUCGGGAUAAGCCUGGGAAACUGGGUCUAAUACCGGAUAGGACCACUGCCUGCAUGGGUGGUGGUGGAAAGCUUUUGCGGUGUGGGAUGGGCCCGCGGCCUAUCAGCUUGUUGGUGGGGUGAUGGCCUACCAAGGCGACGACGGGUAGCCGGCCUGAGAGGGUGACCGGGCACACUGGGGCUGAGAUACGGCCCAGACGCCUACGGGAGGCAGCAGUGGGGAAUAUUGCACAAUGGGCGCAAGCCUGAUGCAGCGACGCCGCGUGAGGGAUGACGGCCUUCGGGUUGUAAACCUCUUUCAGCACCGACGAAGCGCAAGUGACGGUAGGUGCAGAAGAAGGACCGGCCAACUACGUGCCAGCAGCCGCCGUAA
rnacentral:rRNA from 1 species